GAGACGUUAGUAUUGAAGAAGGCGCGAAGCUUGCAGAAGCAGAAGGAUUGUUCUUCAUGGAGACAUCCGCGUUGGAUUCUACAAACGUUAAUAAGGCUUUCGAGAUUGUUAUCCGUGAAAUCUAUAGCAAUGUCAGUCGAAAGGUCUUGAAUUCGGAUUCCUACAAGGCAGAGUUAUCUAUUAACAGGGUAAACCUUGUAAAAGACGACGGAGAAGGAUCGAAACGAUCUUGGAGCAGUUGUUGCUCAAGAUGAACCAUGUCUUAACUGGUUAUACAUUUUGUUAUUGUUAGC
rnacentral:misc_RNA from 1 species